CCAAGUGGCUACCAAAGAGUUGCUACUCUCCAACCACAGCAGCCACCACAGCAACAUCAGCCACCACAGCAGCCACCUACUCAACCCCUCAAUCACACAAUCCCACAAAGAAGAGUAGCAUGUUAUUCAGAUUAUGAGGGUGAGCAGACCAUAUAUUCAUUCAGCCAAGAAUACUCAUUUAGCCAAUCACAACCAGGGGGUUCACAAGCUUCACAAACAAUAACUAGCCAAGCCUUACAGGACCUAGCAAUGGCUAGAAGGAUGCAAAGGAGAAAAUAGUUGAAAGUUGCUUUGUACCUGAUUAAUGGAAGGUGAUGAAUUUGAUUUUUUUUUUGCUGCUGAUGGAAGAACACCAAUAUCAGAAAUUUUUCGUGUUGUGGAAGUUCUUAUUUUUUGCUGCUCCUGAUUUCUUGAGAGAGAUGA